GAGGCGAACCGGGGGAACUGAAACAUCUAAGUACCCCGAGGAAAAGAAAUCAACCGAGAUUCCCCCAGUAGCGGCGAGCGAACGGGGAGGAGCCCAGAGCCUGAAUCAGCAUGUGUGUUAGUGGAAGCGUCUGGAAAGGCGCGCGAUACAGGGUGACAGCCCCGUACACAAAAGCGCAUGUGCUGUGAGCUCGAUGAGUAGGGCGGGACACGUGGUAUCCUGUCUGAAUAUGGGGGGACCAUCCUCCAAGGCUAAAUACUCCUGACUGACCGAUAGUGAACCAGUACCGUGAGGGAAAGGCGAAAAGAACCCCGGCGAGGGGAGUGAAAAAGAACCUGAAACCGUGUACGUACAAGCAGUGGGAGCACAGGUUUACCUGUGUGACUGCGUACCUUUUGUAUAAUGGGUCAGCGACUUAUAUUCUGUAGCAAGGUUAACCGUAUAGGGGAGCCGCAGGGAAACCGAGUCUUAAUUGGGCGUUAAGUUGCAGGGUAUAGACCCGAAACCCGGUGAUCUAGCCAUGGGCAGGUUGAAGGUUGGGUAACACUAACUGGAGGACCGAACCGACUAAUGUUGAAAAAUUAGCGGAUGACCUGUGGCUGGGGGUGAAAGGCCAAUCAAACCGGGAGAUAGCUGGUUCUCCCCGAAAGCUAUUUAGGUAGCGCCUCGUGAAUUCAUCUCCGGGGGUAGAGCACUGUUUCGGCUAGGGGGCCAUCCCGGCUUACCAACCCGAUGCAAACUGCGAAUACCGGAGAAUGUUAUCACGGGAGACACACGGCGGGUGCUAACGUCCGUCGUGAAGAGGGAAACAACCCAGACCGCCAGCUAAGGUCCCAAAGUCAUGGUUAAGUGGGAAACGAUGUGGGAAGGCCCAGACAGCCAGGAUGUUGGCUUAGAAGCAGCCAUCAUUUAAAGAAAGCGUAAUAGCUCACUGGUCGAGUCGGCCUGCGCGGAAGAUGUAACGGGGCUAAACCAU
rnacentral:rRNA from 1 species